rnacentral:rRNA from 1 species
UACGUACUGUGCGAACGUUAUUCGGAAUCACUGGGCUUAAAGGGUGCGUAGGCGGCCAAUUAAGUAGGGUGUGAAAGGUUACGGCUCAACCGCGACAUUGCGCUCUAGACUGAUUGGCUCGAGUGAGAUAGGGGUGUGCGGAACUUCCAGUGGAGCGGUGAAAUGUGUUGAUAUUGGAAGGAACGCCGGUGGCGAAAGCGGCACACUGGGUCUUAACUGACGCUGAGGCACGAAAGCCAGGGGAGCGAACGGG